AAAUUGAAGAGUUUGAUCAUGGCUCAGAUUGAACGCUGGCGGCAGGCCUAACACAUGCAAGUCGAACGGUAACACAGAGAGCUUGCUCUCGGGUGACGAGUGGCGGACGGGUGAGUAAUGUCUGGGAAACUGCCUGAUGGAGGGGGAUAACUACUGGAAACGGUAGCUAAUACCGCAUAACGUCGCAAGACCAAAGAGGGGGACCUUCGGGCCUCUUGCCAUC
rnacentral:rRNA from 1 species